CAGAAGGCCGGUGCAGUGGCUAGCGGUUGUAAUCCCAACAUUGUGGGAGUCCGAGGAGCGAAGAUCGCUUGAGCCGAGGAAAGUUAGAGACCAACUUGGGCAACCUAGAAGACUUCUGUCUCCACAAGUAAAAUUAAUGAGCCAGGUGUGGUGGCGCGUACAUGUGGUCCCAGCUACUCAGGAGGCUGAGAUCAGGUGCUAGGAUGAGAAGCCACGUGGAGCAGAACUGCGGCAAAUGACCUGUGGUCCCUGACAUGUGAUGGAGUGAAGAAUGUGCUUGCUGUUUUAAGCCAACUGGGAUUUGAGAGCUGUUUGUUACUACAGAAGAGCUUUUUCCUUCCAACAGUCAGGCCCCUCUGCUGUAGGACUCCUGGAGGUCCACUCCAGACCCUGCUUGCCUGGGGAUCACCUGCAGUGGCUGCAGAAUGAGGUGAGGUCUCACUAUGCUGCCCAAGCUAGUCUCAAAAUCCUGGACUCAAGUGAUCUGCCUGCCGUAGCCUCCCAAAGUCCUGGGAUUCCAGGCAUGAGCUGCCACGCCCAACCAACACCAGGUAAGCAAGGAUAAGGAACAGAUUCUGUACAUAUGGAAAAAUACAAAGAAAAUUAUAUGCUAGCAAUUAAAGAAAUGUUCAUUUUCACACAACUACCAUUGAAUUAAAAAUAAGUUAAACCCAAAGUUGACCGAGGAAAAGCUCUGUAUCACUAUAAACUGGCUCCACCAUUCUGAAGAACAACCUGCUAAUGUGCCUGGGCCAGUUCAUGCUAUAAUUCAGUAAUUCCCUUAGCGGGAACAGACUCUAAACUGGAAUCACCCCACCCUUCUCACAGGCCCCUUCGCUGGUUUAUUUACAGCACUUAGCAUGGUCUAAGUUAAAUAUGUCCCUUGUCAAUUCUGUUAAUUGCCUCUUUUCCUCCAGAACGUAAGUUCUA